rnacentral:rRNA from 1 species
UGGCGGCAGGCCUAACACAUGCAAGUCGAGCGGAAACGAUGGAAGCUUGCUUCCAGGCGUCGAGCGGCGGACGGGUGAGUAAUGCAUAGGAAUCUGCCCGGUAGUGGGGGAUAACCUGGGGAAACUCAGGCUAAUACCGCAUACGUCCUACGGGAGAAAGCAGGGGAUCCAUGUUCUUCGGAAUGGGGACCUGUGCUAUCGGAUGAGCCUAUGUCGGAUUAGCUAGUUGUGAGUAACGGCUCACCAAGCCCCCGACCGUACUGUUUGAGAGGAUGAUCACCACAUCGGGACUGAGACACGGCCCGAACUCCUACGGGAGCAGCAGUGGGGAAUAUUGGACAAUGGGCGAAAGCCUGAUCCACCAUCCGCGUGUGUGAAGAAGCUUUCGGGUUGUAAAGCACUUUCAGUGGGGAAGAAAUCCUCAGGGCCAAUACCCCUGAGGGAGGACAUCACCCACAGAAGAAGCACCGGCUAACUCCGU